AUUGAACGCUGGCGGCAGGCCUAACACAUGCAAGUCGAGCGGAUGAAGGGAGCUUGCUCCUGGAUUCAGCGGCGGACGGGUGAGUAAUGCCUAGGAAUCUGCCUGGUAGUGGGGGGUAACGUCCGGAAACGGGCGCUAAUACCGCAUACGUCCUGAGGGAGAAAGUGGGGGAUCUUCGGACCUCACGCUAUCAGAUGAGCCUAGGUCGGAUUAGCUAGUUGGUGGGGUAAAGGCCUACCAAGGCGACGAUCCGUAACUGGUCUGAGAGGAUGAUCAGUCACACUGGAACUGAGACACGGUCCAGACUCCUACGGGAGGCAGCAGUGGGGAAUAUUGGACAAUGGGCGAAAGCCUGAUCCAGCAAUGCCGCGUGUGUGAAGAAGGUCUUCGGAUUGUAAAGCACUUUAAGUUGGGAGGAAGGGCAGUAAGUUAAUACCUUGCUGUUUUGACGUUACCAACAGAAUAAGCACCGGCUAACUUCGUG
rnacentral:rRNA from 1 species